rnacentral:siRNA from 1 species
UCCACAAAGCUCUUUUGUUCACAC